CAGUCGCCGCGGUAAUACGUAGGGGGCAAGCGUUAUCCGGAUUUACUGGGUGUAAAGGAGCGCAGGCGGUCUGGCAAGUUGAGAGUGGAAGCAGGGGGCUCAACCCCCUGACUGCUCCCAAAACUGCUGGACUGGAGUAUGGGAGAGGCAGGCGGAAUUCCUAGUGUAGCGGUGAAAUGCUCAGAUAUUAGGAAGAACACCGGUGGCGAAGGCGGCCUGCUGGACCAAAACUGACGCUGAGGCUCGAGAGCGUGGGGAGCGAACAGGAUUAGAUACCCGGGUAGUCCCUGUCUCUUAUACA
rnacentral:rRNA from 1 species